CCUCCUCUCCUCCUUCCCCGCCGCCGCCCGGCCUCCUCCUUCCACCCCUCCGGCCGGCUUCUCUCCCGCUCGCGCCGCCUCCUCCUCCCCACCAGUGCCUCCCUCUCCUCCUUCCCCGCCUUCGCCUGGCCUCCUCCUUCCGCCCCUUGAUCUGGCGCCGCCCAAACCCUAACGCCCUGCCCCGGCCCUGGGUCCUGCCCCGCCCCGCCCCGCCCGUCCCGCUCGCCGUGGCCGUGGCCGAUGACCGCGGCCCCACCGUCCCGCCCUACCCGCCGCGGCGGCCAUGGACGAGCUCGAGCUCGACGGGGGAGCAACGGGCCGCCACGCCAGUCCCGCUCGCCGUGGCCUUCGCCGAUGACCGCGGCCCGUCAAUGGAUGAGACGAGGGAGGGCGUCUGCCUCGCCUCUUCGUCCUCCCAGUCGCCCCCACCAUCCCCGCACUCGCCGCUGCCGCCACCCUUCAUCUCCCGUGCUCCGCCUCCUCCCCUCCCCUCCCCUUCCGUCGCCCGAAUCACCUGCCCGCCGGUCGGGCCGCGGUGGCCGGAUUCAAAGAUGGCCGGGCGGCGACCACAUCCGUGAUGCCCGGCGGCGAGCAACGCGCGCUGAGGGGUGGAAGGGCGCUCUGGAUCCGGAUCAGGGCGUGAUGGCGGCCAUGGCCGAGCUCGAGCCCAGGCGUGUGGGUGCGUUGGUGAGCGCGGCGGGGGUCGGGGCCGAGCUCUGAGCACGGCGGCGGCCAUGGCCUAACUCGAGCAUCUCGUACGUGAUGAUUCAGGGGCGCCAUUCCGACGACUGUCAGAUCUUUAUUCUUGUGGUCGUUGGGCCAGAUUGGUUGUCGCACUCAUCAAUCUAUGGGAGCCCCUUUUGGUCAACCCUCUUGUACAUAGUAUUAGUCCAGGUUAACUAGCAGGGAUCCAUAUUGCUCUACUGUGGCACACAUUGUCAAUUUGUUAACUAAAAGAGAACUGACUAGGCCCCAGUCAUCUCCACCCCUGAUGGUGCUCCUAGACGUGCUACACAUUGCCUCCUUGGCCGCUUCGGUGCCAGUGGCGUUCGUGCUCGUCGGCGGGAUGGUGCAAGGCGCAACUCCGACGUGGUUCCUCGCCGGUUGGAUGGCGUUCAGGUGCAACCCCGGUGCCCACUGAGUACUGCCUUGGUUACAACCUCCCUCGGUAAGCUCCAUCUUCCCCUGCUCUGCUUCGGCUACUACAUGGGACAUGGCCAGGGCUAUGAUGAUCAGUUAUGGAUGAUAUAGGCAUGCUCUCGAGCAAUCGAGGCACUUGUGGGUAUCUAUCCAGAAACAUGAGACGAACGUCCCUACAAGCCUCCUCGGCGAUUAGAGCAUUCUGACCGUCCGAUCAGUUUGCUUGAUGCGAUACCGGCCGUCGGAUCGAGCCGCUGGAAGACCUCGUCCGUCGGAUCAAAUCUCGUCCCCCUGUAGCAUGGUUGAAUGAGCAGUUACCUCCCGGUCGUGCCACCGCGCGUAAAAUUGGGUGGCCGCCGAGGGCAUUUUGGUCAUUUCACAUGGGUGAAAAAAUAUCCAAUCACGGCAUAUGGGUGUGACCUAGCCGUCGCUCCUCGCACACAUAUGGGCGAUGAUGAUUAGCCGUGGCUGAAAUAAGUGUGCCUUUGAGCAAUUAAGGCACCUGUGGGUAUCAAGUUGGAUCCUCCCUCUUGUCUCUAGAAUCCUUUUUGAUCCGGUGAUACUUAUUGUUCUGUCCUUGGAUGGUCAUUCUUGUUGAGUGAUAACCAGGGCAGCUUCACAGUAUAAACAGAUUGAUCUGGUGAUAAGAGAUGAUGGGGGUAGAUUAUAUGAUCGAGGAAAGGCAAGUCUGAGCCCACUAUGCAUUGAACCCUGAACCCUUUUUAUUUGUAUUUAAAGGUGUUGCUUAUUUAUGCUCCAGUGUUUAUAGCUGUCUUAUGUAAAUAUUUCUUCUCUCUCAUACCUUUAUUGCAUAUAAGUUGUUCUUGAUCUUUUAUUGUUUGUUGUUGGUCCUUGAUCUAAUGUGGUUAAGAUAAACUGUGGGAAAUAGUUCUGGAUUUGUUGUAUGGUAGUUUGCAACUGAAUUUGUGACUAUUUUGGAUACUGACCCCAAUUAAGGUUAUCUUGAAAUCGUGGAUGCACACGUGGUUUGUGUUCUUUUAUCAUGGGGUAUCUGUUCUUUUGCACAUUGGUAGAAAGUUGGUUACUGUCAGGUAAGUUCAUCUCCAUUAAUGCCACCCCACAUAUUUCCUUUAUGAUGCUGGAUGUUAUUUGUUUCUGUGAACACAUUUGAUGUAGACCCAAAACCUACUACUAAAUGGUUCCAAUAAAUAAUGCAUAUGGCCGUAGAACUCUUGAUCAACAUUCUGUGAGCAGACUAAGAAUUGACCUAAUACUGAUAUGCAAAUCACAGUCACCCCAAUUUCAGUAUUGUCUAAAUUGAUCACGGUGAAACUACAUCUGCUAUUCUAGAUUCAAGUUGAGUCUUGACCUCUAUAAAUAUGUACUUGCUUUUCCUCUCCAUAGGUUUCUAGCAUUCUGAAUGUAUCCUAUUGGCACAUAAUUACAUCAAUUUUCCUUGCAAAUCAACUUAGAAAUCCAUUGCCCUCUGUACAAAAUCAACUUUCAAUGGAUCAUGCCCAUGCAUAACUUCAGUUUUGGCUGGAUUUUGGAACUGACAAACAUUAGUUGUAUAUGUGUAUUCAGGUAAAGAAAAGACAUGGUAUUCAAGCUAUUCUGGUUUCUCUAUUAAAUCGAAGAUGACAACGACAUCGACGAAGGUCUGUAUGCUCCUGUUGUCAAGUCUGCUUGAUUUUUUCUUCUAAUUUUAGCUAGCUCUGCCUGGUGAAAGCAUUCUUCCAUGCCAAGUAGCCAGUCAGCUUGCCAACAUGAUACAGAGUAGCGUUUAGUGACCUUUCCUCUCAUGUAAACAUGCAUUUGUUUCAGGCACUAAGAAAAAACACAUGUGUUCUAAAAUGCUUUCCAUUGCAGGUUGUUCUUGAAGGAUUAGUUUUGUAUAUCUUCUAUUAUUUAAUAAACAUUAAAUGCUCGGUUCAUUUCAACCUGAACUGUAUUGUUGGAGACAUGCUCUAUAGUAAGUCGCUGAUUUCCAAGUAUUCAGGCAAAAAAAGGCGUGUUUAGUCAGAUUUAGCUUUUGAACUUCCCUCGAGAUAUGUCCCAACCAUCAUAUUUUAAAUAGCUUCUGUUUUCUAAAUACGAGACACUGGACAUGACAGUAUGUAACAAUGUGUCGAUGUUACUUUUCAUUUACAUUCACAUGCUGUUGUAGUGUUCCAGGCUUGCAAAUGAUAAAACAUUUCAAGUAAGUAUGCAGUACCACUCACUCGUUCCUAAUAAAUAUGCAAGCUUUUUUAUCCUCUGUUUUUCUUUACCCAGUGAAACUCUUUGAACAGGGCUCUCUUGGUUAAGUCUGAUUCUUUUAGUUCAUAAAUAUGUACAGGGAUGAGGCGGCAAUAGUUGCAUUCUCUGUAUAUGAACAUGAAGACCUAGAAGGUCGUCUCCUGGAAAGGGAUGCUUCAUUUACAAGAGCGGCUCUCCCCAACAACACUGUUGUGAUGUACUGAAGCCUCCCGUUCCACAUGCUGGGUACUUACACCUCAACGUCACUUCUAUGAGUUGUGGCCUAGAUCAGCAUGUGUAUGUGCCACAGCUUGUGGGAGGGACAAAAUGGGAGGUCGCCUUGAAAUUGUGGAAGUGCAAGGGAGGCCGGAAGAGUGCAUUGCUACACUGCUGCCCUGUUUCUCCUUAUUGCUGCCGACUCACCUUCGUGUAGCGCUAUUUCCAUAGGGAACCAGCAAUAACCACAUUAUGAAAGGGUCAAGGAGCACUGAUCCGAUGUGCAUCGAUGAGAAUGAAGCCGGCAAAGCGACGAGUUCACCUGGCCCUCAGCAGCGGCAGCGACGAGCUCGCCUAGCGCUCCUACCGCGUCGCUGGUGCGACCUCCUUGCUAGAUCCCGGCCAUGCAGCCUCGGCGCAGUGACUGAGUUGCUCCUAAAUGCGCGGAGCAGUGCCGCUUGGCCGGCGAAGUGGCCGGUAGCAGGAAGUCCGCCGUUGUAAAUAGUUGUACAAAAUGGUCAUGUGUUCCUAUCUCUCUGUCGUAAAAAAUGGUCAUGUGUUCUAUCUCUCAUCGUAUGAAAGCAUCAAGCUUGAUUCUGUCUUAUAAUGUGAUUGUCAUCUUCAGAUCCAUUAUGUUAUGCUUCUAACACAAAUAGUUGCCUGCA